UACGGGGGGGGCAAGCGUUGUUCGGAAUUACUGGGCGUAAAGGGUUUGUAGGUGGCUUGUUAAGUCAGACGUGAAAUCCCUCAGCUUAACUGGGGAACUGCGUCUGAUACUGGAUGGCUUGAGUUUGGGAGAGGGAUGCGGAAUUCCAGGUGUAGCGGUGAAAUGCGUAGAUAUCUGGAGGAACACCGGUGGCGAAGGCGGCGACCUGGAUAGGUACUGACACUCAACUGCGAAAGCG
rnacentral:rRNA from 1 species